rnacentral:rRNA from 1 species
UACGUAGGGUGCGAGCGUUAAUCGGAAUUACUGGGCGUAAAGCGUGCGCAGGCGGUUCGUUGUGUCGGUGGUGAAAUCCCCGGGCUUAACCUGGGAAUGGCCAUGGAAACUGGCGAACUGGAGUGCGGCAGAGGGGGGUGGAAUUCCGCGUGUAGCAGUGAAAUGCGUAGAGAUGACAUAGAACACCUAUUGCGAAGGCAGCUUACUACGCAGAUAUUGACGCUCAUGCACGAAAGCGUGGGGAUCAAACAGG